GCCCCCAUAGCUCAAUGGAUAGAGCACACGGUUUCUACCCGUACGAUGUGGGUUCGAUUCCUACUGGGGGCG
rnacentral:tRNA from 1 species